CCCAGGAGGAAACCACAACACUAUUUACUUAGCAGCCUUCAAAGCUGGCCUUUCCCUUCCCUGCCAAGCUGCCUGAGCCUUUUCCAGGACCAGCAGCAGUGAGUGAGCAGAAGCAGGCCCUUGCCAGCUGUCCUUGUAGGUGAGGAGACUGACUGCCCAGCUAUACUCAGGAAAGCACGCCUACCCUGGAGCAUGUUUGUGUGUGGCCUUAGAAGAUGGGAACACACUGGACGAGAGACAGAAAUGCCUUGGGAAGAAAUGACAUGGUUCCGAUGACUCAGAUGACCCAGAUAACGGCUUUCAUUGGACGUGGGAAGACUCAAGCACACACCCUUAGCAUCACUAAGGAUCAGAAGGGUUUUUUCCUGUCAGGAUACCCAUGAACCACUUGCCUGCAGUGCCGUGGAGGUGAAGAGAGCCUCUGAUCCCCUGGGACCUAACCCUCCAUGUGGGCGCUGGGAACCUAAGGCUAUUCCUCUGGAAGAGCAGCCAGUGCCCUUAACUGCAGUCUUCCCUCCAGCCCUCAAGCUCAUUGUCGACUACAUUAAGACCUUGUCACCCAUAAAGCCUGGGGGUUGGGCUUGAAGCAGCGCAGCAGAACAGCAGCACACUGCUCCAGAAGACGAGACUGCCAGAGGUGGGUGAGUAGCAGCUGCCAGGGGAACUGGACACGUCGCAGGCACAUCUUUGAUAUUCCACAGUGCCAGCACUGGGCUCUCCCUCGAGCCUUCCCUCGGGGUUGUGGUCAGAAUUCUGAGUCAGUAGCCUUGGGUCUGAUCUGUGAUGACAUUUCUGCCCUUCUUGGGAAUGCGGGACUAGAAAACGUCAUGCUGGAACACCCACGAGGACAGGUGAGCGGUCUCGGGGGCAAGUGUGCCCUGAGCACAGCCAGGACUCGGGAUAGGAGCCCAUCAAGGAAGUCCCAUCAACCUCACAUCACUGCCUACAGAGAGACUUUUGGCAAAGUUCAGAAAUGAUGGUGACAAAGACAAGGAGCUGUUAGCCACGCUCCGCUCCCUUGUCCCAACGGAUAAGGGAAACAACUCUACUUUCUAGCAGCUGUGACAAAGCAUCUGGCAGGAAGUAACUUAAGGGAGAAGGGUCAGUUUAAGAAGGGUCAAGGGGCCUACUAGAAGGCUUAAUGGGUAAAGGUGCUUGCUGCUAAGCCUAAUGACUUGAGUUCAAUCCUUGGGAUCCACAUGGUAUAAGGAGAGAACCCUCCUCCCCAUCUCCACAAGUUGUCUUCUGACCUCUACAUAUGCACAGGGACAUGUAUGCACCCUUCCAUAAACAAACAAACAAACAAAUAAAUACAUACAUAAAUAUGAGUUUUAAAAUUUUAAAAACAAGGGCUGGAGAGAUGGCUCAGUGGUUAAUAUGGCUGCUCUUCGGAGAUAGGGGUGGGGAGCUGAGUUCAAUUCCCAGCAAUCACACGAUGGCUCACAACUGUCUAUAAUGGGAUCUGAUGCCCUCUUCUAGUGUGUCUGAAGAUAGCGACAGCUUACUCACAGACAUAAAAUAAAUCUUUGGGUUUUUUUGGUUUUUUGUUUUUGUUUUUUUGUUUUUGUUUUUUUGAGACAGGGUUUCUCUGUGUAGCCCUGGCUGUCUUGGAACUCACUCUGUAGACCAGACUGGCCUCGAACUCAGAAAUCCCCUGCCUCUGCCUCCUUGACAAAAGAAAGGCCCAUCAUGUCUGCUAAGAGAUGCAGCAGGAGGGGCAGCUGGCCGCAUUUCAUCUGCCUGAGGGAGCAGGGAGGGACGCUGGUCCUCAGCUUGCUCUCUCCUGUUUCUUCAGCCUGGGACCAGCCCACGGGAUCAUGCUGCCACAUUUAAGGUGGUCCCUCCGGGCUCAGUG